rfam:Oryza glumipatula chromosome 10, whole genome shotgun sequence.
AAUAAGUGCAGCCAUGAGUUUUCGUGUCCAACUUUCAUCGUCCGUCUUAUUUAAAAAUUUUUUAUAAUUAGCAUUUUUUGUUGUUAUGAGAUGAUAAAACAUGAAUAGUACUUUACUCGUGAUUUAUGUUUUUAAUUUUUUUAAAAAAAUUUUAAAUAAGACGAACGGUCAAAGUUGGACGCGGAAAACUAUAGCUACACUUAUU